AACAACAACAACAACAACAACAACAACAACAGCAGCAGCAGCAACAAAAACAACAACAACAACAACAACCGCAACAACGACAGCAGCAGCAGCAGUAGCAGUAUUUCAAACAUCUUUAUAUCUUCAUUAUUAUUUUUAACUAGUAAAAAAAAAUCAAGAGACCAACAAUUGUGGCAGCAGGAGCAGAAGCAGGAGAAGGAGUGGAAUAAAGAACGAGAAAGAGGAGAGAGGAUAAAGGAAGAAAAAGAGUGGCGGUACUGGAGGAGGAGGAGGAGGAGUGGCGGUGGUGUUCAUUUGGUGGAGCAUAAGUAGGAAUAAGUAAGACUUUUCGUUACUUACAGGAUAAUAAGACGUUUGGAGCAGCAAUUUAUAUCUAUAAUACGCCUAACUAUUUUCCUCCUCCCUCUUCUUUUCCCCUCCUCCCUCCCUCCCUACUGCCCGUGCUGUCCCUCUUUUCACGUUUCUACUUCUUCUUUAAUCUCUUCAUGUAAGGCGGUUUGUUGGUCUGCUUCCUAAUUUGUAUAUGAUCUACAUACACACAUCACUACUUGAGCAGCUGUACAUUGCUAAGGUUUGUUCAUUGAUACCAUCUGUCCUCUCCUGCAGUGAUUCCCCAUGCUGUGCUGCAGCCGCCCAACGUCAUCCCAGAGAAGCUCACACGAUGCAUUCACGAUCAUGAAUCGCUGGUGGAUGAACACAACCCACCAGCAGUACAUCAAUAGAACUCAGUGCUUUGUCAAGCAGUAUUCCACCUAUGAUGUGGCACCACUCCUGCCCCCCACACUAGCAGCCGUGUCACAAGUUACUAGUAAGAAGGGAACCUGGAAAAUGGGUGGGCAAAAGAAGAAAGGAAACAGGAUGGAAUGCAGAAGCAAAAGGAGAAUAUAAGGAAGCAGGAAAAAGAAAGAAUUAGUAGCAUAUCUCCUAAUCCUUUCCUACCCUAUUUAUUCUACUAAUCAUCAGAGCUUAUCUGUUAUUUGGUUGUCUUUUGCUAUGUCUUUGUAGCCAAUACUAUCACUCCUCACAGCAAGAGUAGCAGUCCUUACCUCUUGUCUACGCCUGUCAUAUCCAUUAUUCUUGUAGAUAAGUGGUGAAAGAACACUGGCUGAGAACAUGGCAGAUAAUGGGGGUAAGAGAGUGUGUGUGUGUGUGUGUGUGUGUGUGUGUGUGUGUGUCAUUGAACAUUUUCUUGUGCUGGGUUGUCUAUGUUGUGCUUUUCAUUUCAUUUUCAUCUAAUACUUCCUCCUCCUCCUCUUCUCUUCUACUCUUAGUGUAUUACUUGGCUCCACUGCAUGCAGUGUUACUCCCUCCAGGCUUUGCCUCUGUGGAUUUUACUAGCAGGUCCUGCAUGAGGUUUGGGAAGCUGCUGCACAUGUGGUUUGAUGUUAUGCUGUGUUGUACACUUUGCUGUCUUUCAAGAUCCCAGAAUUGAGAGUGAGAGAGAUUCUAUAAUGAUAGUGUUUGUGUAUUUUAUUUGCUAUGAAUAGCUUUCCAGAAGUAGAGUAACAGAGAUCAUACUAUCAGAGUUAGAGGUUUAAGAGUUGUAUACAGUUCUGCAUAAAACUUAAUGCUAUUGAUAAUGGUUAGUUUCUUAGUCUCGUCUUUAUGAAUGUUGCAUUAAAAUCCAUCAAUGAACACAUUAUUCGCUUCAUGCAUAAACAAACUGAUUAACCAAUUUUUUCCUUCCCAUCACAAAAUGUGUUGACUCUGCCACAGACUUUCACGACAUCCUCACCAUGACACCACAUGCAUCCCUUACUCCCUCCUUCUCUUAUAACUGCCUUGCCCUCCUGAGGCCUGAGAGCAGCAUGGGUGGCCUACCAAAGGAGAGUGGAGAAGGAUGGGUGGGGCCAUACACUCUCCCUCCUGGCCUUCGACACUUCACCAAGGACCAACUCUUCUUUAUCAGCUUUGCUAAGGAGUGGUGCAACAACAUCACGCCCUUCGCACUGCAGUAUAUCCCGAAAGCCAGCGUCCACAUGCCUGGUUACUUCCGAACCCAAAAGAGAAGUGCAUGCUGUGGUGAAGAAGGGGUGACGGCAAGACUGUGGCAGGAGGCAGGUGCUGCUCCAGACAGGGCCAUCAAGUGUAUGUGUACUCAUGUGCCCUCAUGGUGCAGGAAGGAGGUGACAGAAU